GCUUUUGGUUCAGUGGUAGAAUGCUUGCCAGCCAUGUGGGCGCCCCAGGUUCGAUUCCUGGCCGAUGCA